GUGCAGCAGUCGCGAAAACUUCGCAAUACACGAAAGUGUGACGAGGCCAUCCCGAGUGCCAUCCGCUGAGGAUGGCUUUUCCCCAGUGUAGAUAGCUGGGGGAAUAAGGAGAGGGCAAGUCUGGUGUCAGCCGCCGCGGUAAUACCAGCUCUCCGAGUGGUAGGGACGAUUAUUGGGCUUAAAGCGUCCGUAGCCGGCUCAGCAAGUCUCCCGUUAAAUCCAACGAUUCAAUCGUUGGACUGCGGGAGAUACUGUUGAGCUAGGAGGCGUGAGAGGCCGACGGUAUUCCCGGAGUAGGGGUGAAAUCUUAUAAUUCCGGGAGGACCACCAGUGGCGAAGGCUGUCGGCUAGAACGCGCUCGACGGUGAGGGACGAAAGCUGGGGGAGCGAACCGGAUUAGAUACCCGGGUAGUCC
rnacentral:rRNA from 1 species